rnacentral:rRNA from 1 species
AUGAACGCUGGCGGCGUGCCUCAUCCCUGCAAGUCGAGCGAACAGAUGAGGAGCUUGCUCCUCUGACGUUAGCGGCGGACGGGUGAGUAACACGUGGAUAACCUACCUAUAAGACUGGGAUAACUUCGGGAAACCGGAGCUAAUACCGGAUAAUAUAUUGAACCGCAUGGUUCAAUAGUGAAAGACGGUUUUGCUGUCACUUAUAGAUGGAUCCGCGCCGCAUUAGCUAGUUGGUAAGGUAACGGCUUACCAAGGCGACGAUGCGUAGCCGACCUGAGAGGGUGAUCGGCCACACUGGAACUGAGACACGGUCCAGACUCCUACGGGAGGCAGCAGUAGGGAAUCUUCCGCAAUGGGCGAAAGCCUGACGGAGCAACGCCGCGUGAGUGAUGAAGGUCUUCGGAUCGUAAAACUCUGUUAUUAGGGAAGAACAAAUGUGUAAGUAACUAUGCACGUCUUGACGGUACCUAAUCAGAAAGCCACGGCUAACUACGUG